UACAGCUGAAUUAGUGAUUGGCUGUAUUUACUUUCACAUUCUAUUGGAGAAUAUUAUGUCACUAACUACACAAGAAACAGCUGCAAUCCUUGCAGAUUAUGC
rnacentral:ncRNA from 1 species